UCGCUUAUAUCACGAUGUACGCUCUAAAUCACAGAGGACACGCGUUUAAUUAAAGGGGGGUUGUCGCUAGACAAUAAGGACUGGACUUGAGUAAUGCACAGAGACCGUCGCUAGAAUCCGCAACAGCUGAAGUUGCGUCGCGACGCCCAGAAUAGACGUCGGUGAGGCAACGCUGAGCAUGAGCAGGUGGGCAGCGAGCAGUAGUCGUCCCGCCACCGCCGCGCCGCCGUCACGUGUGUACAGCCGUGUUGAGACGUGUUGGGACGUGUCGUGUCGUGUCGUGUCGUGUCGCGACGUGUCGUGGCGUGACGUGUUAGUGUUGUGAUCAUGGAUGAGUGUAAGAGUGGAUAGGAUACAAAAUAAUCACGAUGCUCAGCUGGUUUGGCGAGAGCGGGUUAGCAGAACCCGACUCUACUCGGGCCAAGGAUAUGACUGCCAUUAACUCGGGGCUACAUGAUGUGCCGGGAGUGAGGUUGCCACUACAGACCAGCUACGCCUCCGCCAGUCCUCAUGCCGCGGUGUUCAUGUACUCCUCGUCAGGGGCUGAGGGGAGUGUGACGUUGUAGCUGAGGGAUACUACAUAGUGACUGUUGUUACAGGGGCUACAUGAUGUGCCGGGAGUGAGGUUGCCACUACAGACCAGCUACGC